UAGGCCCUGUUUAGUUUGCCACCUAAAAUUUUUUCAUCCAUCCCAUCGAAUCUUUGGACAUAUACAUGAAAUAUUAAAUGUAUAUAAAAAAAUAAACUAAUUACACAGUUUGGUUAAAAAUCGGGAGACAAAUAUUUUAAGCCUAGUUACUUCAUAAUUAGUCUUAAGUGCUACAGUAACCCACAUUUACUAAUGAUAGAUUAAUUAUACUUAAUAUAUUUGUCUUAUAGUUUCCUGACGAGCUAUGUAAUUUGUUUUUUAUUACUUUUUAAAAACUCCUCCCGACAUUCUUUCUACAUAUCUAUGUGACACCAAAAAAAUUU
rnacentral:lncRNA from 1 species